CAGCCGCCACGGUAAUACGGAGGGUGCAAGCGUUAAUCGGAAUUACUGGGCGUAAAGCGCACGCAGGCGGUCUGACAAGUCAGAUGUGAAAUCCCCGGGCUUAACCUGGGAACUGCAUUUGAAACUGUCAGGCUGGAGUCUUGUAGAGGGGGGUGGAAUUCCAGGUGUAGCGGUGAAAUGCGUAGAGAUCUGGAGGAAUACCGGUGGCGAAGGCGGCCCCCUGGACAAAGACUGACGCUCAGGUGCGAAAGCGUGGGGAGCAAACAGGAUUAGAUACCCGAGAGUCCCUGUCUCUUAUACA
rnacentral:rRNA from 1 species